GGGGGGUGUGGAGGGGGGAGGUUUUUGUUGAGGAGAGCGCGGCCGGAGAGCAGAGCUCCGGGACCCAGGUGACCGGGAAAGCAGGCAGCCCCAGCGGCGGGAGCAGCCAGCAGCAGCCCAGGCCCGGGGACCGGGGUGGGGGUGGGAGGGGGGCUGAGGGGAGGACCUGAAGGGGGGGCGGCAGGGCCAAAGGGACCCCCGGAGCCCUGCCGCCAUCAGAGACCAAGCAUCUGGCAUCAGGGAUCUUCGGACCCAGCAGAAGGACCAGCCACAGGGGAGGUGUCCUCCAGGAAAGCCAAGGAGAACUCCACCUGCCCCACAUCAGGAGUGCCCCCCUCCCAGCGCUGCUGGCUACCAUACCAGGACCCUCAGCCCUCAGCUCCCAUCCCGUCACGCUCCUCAGACCCCCCCUGCCCUCCACCUCCAGCUCUCAUCUCAACCCCCAGUUCCCAGUGCUUCUGCUACCACCCUGACCCUCCAGGUCUUGGCCACACUGCCCCCCAUCCUGGGAUCUCUGCCAGCUCUCUGGGAGGGAGAUCAUUUGUUUGGGCUAUGCCCCCUGGUGGCAUGACAGUGUCUGCCUAGACCCCUGACCCCUAGCCUUCAACUCCCUGGGCCUCCUUUGUGUGAAGAGCUGCCCCUCUGCUAGCACUGUGGUUGGGGCCACAGGGAAAGCCAGCCCCGGCUGGGCCCCAGCCCCGGCCACUUGCCUCCUUGCUGGGCAGCUCCCCCUGGCCUUCGGGCCUCUCCCUGCUCCCCUCGGCCCCUUCUCCUGGGCCGCCCCGAUGAAGGAACCGGAUGCCAUCAAGCUGUUUGUGGGGCAGAUCCCGAGGCACCUGGAGGAAAAGGACCUGAAACCCAUCUUCGAACAGUUUGGUCGGAUCUUCGAGCUGACUGUCAUCAAGGACAAGUACACCGGGCUGCACAAGGGAUGUGCCUUCCUGACAUACUGUGCCCGCGAUUCAGCCCUGAAGGCCCAGAGCGCCCUGCACGAACAGAAGACGCUUCCAGGGAUGAACAGGCCAAUCCAGGUCAAGCCAGCCGACAGCGAGAGCCGAGGAGAAGACCGGAAGCUCUUUGUGGGGAUGCUAGGGAAGCAGCAGACAGAUGAGGACGUCCGGAAGAUGUUCGAGCCUUUCGGGACCAUAGACGAGUGCACUGUGCUCCGGGGCCCAGACGGCACCAGCAAAGGCUGCGCCUUCGUGAAGUUCCAGACCCACGCGGAGGCUCAGGCGGCCAUCAACACCCUUCACAGCAGCCGGACCUUGCCGGGUGCCUCAUCCAGCCUGGUGGUGAAGUUUGCCGACACGGAGAAGGAGCGCGGUCUCCGCCGAAUGCAGCAGGUGGCCACCCAGCUGGGCAUGUUCAGCCCCAUCGCUCUCCAGUUCGGCGCCUACAGCGCCUACACCCAGGCCCUGAUGCAGCAGCAGGCGGCCCUGGUAGCGGCUCACAGUGCCUACCUCAGCCCCAUGGCCACCAUGGCUGCCGUGCAGAUGCAGCACAUGGCCGCCAUCAAUGCCAACGGCCUCAUCGCCACCCCCAUCACCCCCUCCUCAGGAACCAGCACGCCUCCUGCCAUCGCUGCCACACCCGUCUCUGCCAUCCCUGCUGCCCUGGGCGUCAACGGCUACAGCCCAGUGCCCACCCAGCCCACCGGGCAGCCUGCCCCUGACGCUCUAUAUCCCAACGGGGUUCACCCCUACCCAGCCCAGAGCCCCGCGGCCCCCGUGGACCCGCUGCAGCAGGCCUACGCGGGGAUGCAGCACUAUACAGCAGCUUACCCAGCAGCCUACAGCCUGGUGGCACCUGCGUUCCCACAGCCUCCUGCUCUGGUGGCCCAGCAGCCCCCGCCACCCCCACAGCAGCAGCAGCAGCAGCAACAGCAGCAGCAGCAACGGGAAGGCCCUGACGGCUGCAACAUCUUCAUCUACCACCUGCCCCAGGAGUUCACGGACUCAGAGAUCCUCCAGAUGUUUGUCCCCUUUGGCCAUGUCAUCUCAGCCAAAGUCUUUGUUGACAGAGCCACCAAUCAGAGCAAGUGUUUUGGCUUUGUGAGUUUCGACAAUCCAGCCAGCGCCCAGGCUGCCAUCCAGGCCAUGAAUGGUUUCCAGAUUGGCAUGAAGCGCCUCAAAGUCCAGUUAAAGCGGCCUAAGGAUGCCAAUCGGCCCUACUGAGGACACCCAGCCCAGGGCCCGUGUCCAUUGUCGGCCGAAGCCCCCAUCCCCGGACCCCUGCUCCGGGCCCCUGUCUGGAGACACCAGAGGAAGGGGCGCCUCACCCCUCUCCCCACAGCUGGCCCCGGCCCUCUCUGCACAUCCGCCCUGGGCCUUGUCUGGGCUCUGGGGCAAACGCUGCUUCGUGGCCCUGGGGGCACAGGACACCGGCCCACUCCCAUCACCCCGCCUCCCCCAGAGGGCCUUUUCCUGCCAGGUGCCCUUUUGGCCUUUUGUGAGGGAGCACGGACCAGGCUCGAAGGCUCGGGGCUAUCUGCCUUCUGCUGAGGCUCCUGUGAUGGGCCUCCUGUGCCCAGCUUUCGCGCCUCUCUCCUCCACCACUGGGCCUCGUCUACCUGUGUGGCCCGGGAGGGCAGUGGGGGCCUCCGACACGCUCCCCACCCACCUCACCCCAGCCUCUUCCCCACAUUAGGGGUUU